UACGUAGGGUGCGAGCGUUGUCCGGAAUUAUUGGGCGUAAAGAGCUUGUAGGCGGUUUGUCGCGUCUGCUGUGAAAUCUCAAGGCUCAACCUUGAGCUUGCAGUGGGUACGGGCAGACUAGAGUGUGGUAGGGGAGACUGGAAUUCCUGGUGUAGCGGUGAAAUGCGCAGAUAUCAGGAGGAACACCGAUGGCGAAGGCAGGUCUCUAGUACGGUACUGACGCUGGAGACGCGAAAGCGUGGGGAGCGAACAGG
rnacentral:rRNA from 1 species